rnacentral:rRNA from 1 species
AGUGAACGCUGGCGGUAGGCCUAACACAUGCAAGUCGAACGGCAGCACAGUAAGAGCUUGCUCUUACGGGUGGCGAGUGGCGGACGGGUGAGGAAUACAUCGGAAUCUACUUUUUCGUGGGGGAUAACGUAGGGAAACUUACGCUAAUACCGCAUACGACCUACGGGUGAAAGCAGGGGAUCUUCUGACCUUGCGCGAUUGAAUGAGCCGAUGUCGGAUUAGCUAGUUGGCGGGGUAAAUGCCCACCAAGGCGACGAUCCGUAGCUGGUCUGAGAGGAUGAUCAGCCACACUGGAACUGGAACACGGUCCAGACUACUACGGGAGGCAGCAGUGGGGAAUAUUGGACAGUGGGCGCAAGCCUGAUCCAGCCAUACCGAGUGGGUGAAGAAGGCCUUCGGGUUGUAAAGCCCUUUUGUUGGGAAAGAAAAGCAGCAGGUUAAUACCCCGCUGUUCUGACGGUACCCAAAGAAUAAGCACCGGCUAACUUCGUG